rnacentral:tRNA from 1 species
GGCUCUGUGGCGCAAUGGAUAGCGUGGUGGACUUCUAGGCUUAGUGUUGAAGUUAUUCAAAGGUUGUGGGUUCGAGUCCCACCAGAGUCA